rnacentral:miRNA from 1 species
GUUUGUGGAAACACCACACAAAUUUAUUACUGCAAAGCUUAAGGAUCGAAAGCUUUGCAGUAAUAAAUUUACGUGGUGUUUCCACAAACAAAACUAU